CCUGAGAAAUCCAAAAGAUCGAAUGGAGAGAUUCAGCGUCAGUGGAGUCGGCUUGCGUGUGGCUUGCGAUGUCGAGUGUGCGCCUCACGGUGUUACAACUUGGCACGCGGUCGCUGCGUGAGGGGUCCGAUUCUGCCGGCGUGCACUUCUCUCCUAGUAGGACGUCGCGACCCGUUGGGUGUCGUUCAACGGCCCGUAUGGUCGACUGUCUUGGACGCGUUUACGCGCGUCCGUGGCAGACCUACGGUCGCCCGAUCGACUGCCCGACGGUAUUGAAUGUACGCACGAUUGGUAACGAGCCGCAUUGAAUGCGUUCGGCUUGGCGAUUGGCCGUGGCUCGCCUGGACUAACGGACCUAGUGCCGUUGCCGGGCGCUUGUCGCGUGCUUUAAAUCGUCAAUGUCCUCGAACCGGCUCGUUUUACAUUCAAAUUAUCGGUCAGCGACGCUUUUGCUUUGGAUACUUUCAGG
rnacentral:rRNA from 1 species